AGCAUUGAUUAUACAUCUCUGAGCCGGUGCUUCAAACUCCAAGUCAUGCUCAAAACCAGAGUGUGCCACCCUUCCAUGAGGAUUAUACCACGAGCUAGGUGCUUCAUCCUGAAAACCCCAAGAAAAAGAAAGAACUCUUGAGAAAAUGUUUCACAUACUUGACUAUCGGAGAGCAAAAGGAUAUACUAAUACAGAAAAGUAUAGACAGAAAAGAUAAACGGCCCUGGGAAAACAUAUCGUUGGAUCAGUUAUUAAAAUCGAUAAAAUCGUUUUAGAAACUAUAGGUUUAGUACAGUGCACCUGAGCAAUUGCAGAAACCAAGCAGUUUUCCUUUUCUUUUCAACUUUAGGCUUGAUGCCAGACGGUCGACUUAGAACCAACAAUUAUCAGACAAUUGAGAAAUAAAAAACCCAUAGUUUUUUGCAUGUUUGAUUAAAAAAAUGUUUCUCUUUUAGUUCCAAAAAAAGUGAGUUGUAACAGCUCGCUGUUCUUUUGUUAAUGUCAGAAAUUCAACAUUGCAUAUACUGUUGCAGUUAAUUCUACUAUUAAGUCUUUGCACAUUAAUUCAAAUAACAAUUCAUACAGGCAAAAACCGAUCUCGUCUAAUGCUUCAUCAAAAAAUCCUGAAGUAAGCUUCUGCUUUCCUUUAUGGGAUUGGGUGUAUUUAUGAUUUACCUUCUCUUUUUUCUUUCUAAGAGUUGAACGAGCUUGAAUGUUUUUUUCUUCAGCCUGUGUACACAGUAAAAGGAGAAAGUUUCUAACAGAACGGUAAAAGGCAGCAUAACAAUGGCUUUCACAUGAUCAAUUACAACAAGCACAUUAUUGAUAUUCUUUUGUUGGGGACUACCAGGAGGGAGUCCAAACAGAGGGGAGUUGGCUAGCAGAUUUGGUAGGCCAAGUGUUGAGAUGGGAGUUUGUAUUAGCAUGGAUUUAAGGAGACCAGUUGUAUUAGGAAGGUCUAGGCCUAAGCAUCUACUCCCUCCGUCGUGAUUCAGAAAACAAAGCUCCAGAGGCACUUGUCCAAAUAUUGUUUUCUCAAUAUUUAGUUAAUUGGCAUAACAGAGUGGAAAUCUAGUAUGUUCUCUUUCAGCAUGAGUGGCCAAAAGAACAAACCAGACCAUGUUACUUCAAUUUGUCUUGCAUCCAAAUCUCUAAACUGAUGAUAUGGAUACACGUGGAUGUUGAAAUAUAUUGCCCGCCUCCCUCCAACAGUUCGGACUUUUGGAUGAGCUGGUCGGUGCAUGAAUUCAAUAUGGUAUCCGAGCCAAGAGGUCUUGAGUUCAAGACCCUGCUAGCGCAGUAUUAAAUAAAACGAUUCUGCGGCCUACAUCGAUCCCACGUCUAAGAACUAAAAAUAGCCUAGACGUGAGGGGGAGUGUUGAAAUAUAUUGCCCGCCUCCCUCCAACAGUUCGGACUUUUGGAUGAGCUGGUCGGUGCAUGAAUUCAAUAGUGGAAUCUACAGCAUUCUACAAACCCACAUUCUUGUAGACCUAUGCUCCCUUUGCAGGCAGGCACAUGGAUGCCUACAAUCCCUUAAUGGUUGCGGUUAUUAUUUUUCCAAACAAUUGACAAACAUUCAGAAGAUAAUGAAAAACAUGCAUAGCAGAAAUGCAGGCAACACCAUCAGAAAGUUGGUCCGAAAGAAGGUAAAUAGUGUGCAGUAGGCAUAAAUAGCAAGGUCGAUUAUCCUAACCCACCUCACUCAAGUGUGCAUCUGGGUCUACAAGGGUGAACCUUAUCUCUUGCAUCUCUCCAGGCAGGCCCACAUACGCUACUCAAAAUCGUUUCUUAUGCAGUUUCUCAUGAUUGUACACAACUUGGACAGAAAACCAAAUUCAAAGUAUCAAAUAGGUCAUUUUUCUUUGUGUUGUGUAGAAUAGGAUUGAAUAGCAACCAAGGUCACUGUGAAUAUAUGCAGUAUGGAAAUUAUUACUUACAUAUAGUCAUGCACAAUAAGUCUCCUUAAUUCUCCGUGCAUUAAAUAUUAUAACUUUGAGACGGUUCUUGAUGAACUGUACUAAAGAUGUCACUUAAAGGUGGGUUUGCACAAUAUAAUCAUGGUGAUAACAUCCCAGCAUGCCAUACAAUACUUAGAUUACAGUUCCUGGAGACAACGUCAAAAGCAAAACACGACAACAAAAAACCCAGGAAGUAACAGGCAAAUCAUUUCAGUUCAGAACCAGAUUAAAAAGGUCAACAUAGGGACACACAUCACACACAUGCAAUUAAGAAGAUUUUGUAUCUGAACGAAAAACAGAACUUGGAAGAAAUAUCAGAAUUUUCAGUUACCCACUUAC
rnacentral:lncRNA from 1 species